CCGGAAGUCUUGGGAUUGAAAGCGACAGUUGGGCGGGGUUUUCAAGAGAGAGAGAGAGAGAGAGAGAGAGAGAGAGAGAGAGAGAGAGAGAGAGAGGGGGCUGCAGAGACAAAAGGUAGAGGGUAGACAAAGGAAUCUUGUGAUCCUAGUGUUAUAAGUGUUAUACAGUAGAUCUGGAUUCCUGGAAACAUCUGAGCUCACACAAACAGUUUACAUAACUGUUGGUGUACAGUGUCAUGUGUCUCUGUAGUGGCCUGCUUGAUGUGGUCAGUUUGGGAUGAUGUUAUAUCUAAUACAUGGCUGUCGAUUGGUCGCGUCUUGACCGAGGCCACCACCUGGUGGAUGAGAUGGUAAUGGGAACAAGUAUGAAAGAAGCACAUGGAUGAAGGUGGAUUGCUUGACUGGGGCCACCACCUGGUGGAUGACGUGGUUAUGGGAACGAGUAUGAAAGAAGCACAUAGCAAGUGAGACCCACGACUUCUAUAACAGAUGAUAUGUAUUUGACCCAAGGUGGAGCAGUGGUCAUAACCCACCCUCACCCAUCACCAUGCCAAAAAUGCUUCCUUGCAGCUCCAGUCUCCAUACAGCAUGGUGUCUUCUAGGUGAACAGACUUUACCUGGCUGGACAUGGGGGACAUUCAUUGUUAAUAUAAAAUAGACAGGAAAUAACAGCUGCAGGAAUAUCCCUUCAUCCACAGAGUUGUGCAAGACACAGCAAGUUUCAGGAUGAAUGGGUUGUGAAGAGCCAGAGACAGGACAGCCAUGGUAAACAGGGAACUGGACUUCUUGCAGUUCAUGUGUGCAUGGUUUGACAGUUGUUGUACAUUGUGAAGCGUCUUCAUAGUGGCCUGUUUGAUGUGGUCAGUAUGAGAUGAAAUGUAUUGGACCCAAAGUGGAGAAGUGGUCAAUACUUCCCUGGGAUGACCCAUUGCCAUCACAGUAACUGGACUGCUUGCAGCUCCAGUCUCCAUGCAGUUUGUCUUCUAGGUGAACUAACCUUACCUGGCUGAACAUGGAGGGAAUGUAUUUUAUAAGAAGCAGACAUAAAAAGGCAGCAACAGGAACAUCUUCAUCUCACCCAUUUGUGCAAGACACAGGAUGUGGCAAGUUUUAGGAUGAAUGAACAGCCAGAGACAGGACAGCCAUUUAUAUGGAACAGUACAAUUGUACAACAAAUGUGGGUUCCAGGUAACACAAAGAAUCCAUUUCCCCCAUAUGCAUGGAAACUAUAGAGGCAGGGUAUAUAAAGCAAGGAGAUUGUGUUAGACAAUACUCUAUCACUGAAGACAAAUAGACACAAUGGAAAUGUUUAAAAGUGAAUUGCUAUUUCAGCUCAGUUGUGAUGUGUUUUAAUAAUUUCCCCAUAUGCAUGGAAAUCGUUACAGUACUAGUAGAGGUAGCAUAUACAGUAAGAUUGUGGUAGACAAUAAGCCAUCACUGAACAGAAAAAGAUGUCAUUGAAAAUGUGUUAAUGUGUAUGCACAUAUUUCAGUGCAGAUAUGAUCUCUGUUAUUGUGAGGACAUUAAGUUGCAAUUGCAAGUUUUAUGACAUAUUUAUUAUAUACAGACACUUUCAGUCUGUCUAUAUUCUGAUCACUGUCUGUCCAGUGUCAUUGCCAUAGUCAGCACUUUGUGACACAUCUGUUGUUUACCCUUUAACUGAUAAACUGUAUUUUUGUUUUAACUUUAAUUCCUCUAGAAAAUCAGCAUGAUUAGAUUUUUUUAUAUUGUUUUGUUAUCUUUAGCAGUUUGGAUAAGAUACUACAGUAUGUCCUGAGUGUAUCAAAUUGAAGAAGAAAAUGUAGAUAUGUUUGUGUAUUUUUGUCUUACUUUGUUUCUGAUAUUUAUUUUGAUUACUAAAUAGUAUUUUUGUGAAUUUAUGAAAUUUUUGUAAGUUCAUUGUUAAAUGGUGAAUGACAGCAGUCAGAAGGUUCACUGGUCUGAUAGUUUGAUGAUGCCAACAUCCAAUGGUUCAAAAGGUUCAGUAGUCAGAAGGUUCAUUGGUCUGAUAGUUUGGUGAUCCAAAUGUCCAGCUGUUCCAAAGGUUUGCUAGUCUAAAGGUUCACUUGCCUGAGGUUUCAUUGGUUCAAUGGUUGUAAAGUCUGAGAAUAAGAAUUGUGUAUGGUGUAAUAUGAUGAGGGCUUUUAUGAUUUUAAUAGUAUACAUCGACCUGGGUGGAUAAAAUGACAAUAUAAAUGCAAUUUUAAAUGAGUAUGUUAUUAACCAAUUACAAUUACUAAAGACAAUUGUUUAACCCAAGUUACUGUUACUACAACUCAAUUGCCCAGAGGUGCAGCACUGUCUUUUAGUUCACUUCUAGCUAAAGGAAAGAAGAGAAACUUAGCCAAUGCAAUGAGGGUUUCUUCUUCUUGGAAAUUAAUAAUGAUAGCAAACUUUUCAUCAGUUGUUCUGAGGUCAAAAUGGAGUUUCAGAAAGGAGUUUCAUGAUAACUGUACUCCAUGAAAGGUUAUCAUCUUUAAGAUUUGACAAGCUUUUUGUUGAGAGUAAUUUGUAAUAGUGAAAUUCAUCUAGGUAUGCUUGUUUAAGUAGGUUGUUAUCAUCCAAGCAUAAUAUUUUAAGUGAAAAUUUUAUUGAUUGUAUUUUAAUCUUUAUGUGAGCAGGAUUUCUUCCAGUCUCUCAUCUUACUGC